CCCCACCAGCACGGACCCCUCCCCCAACGCCCUUCAUGUCUCCUGUGAGAUGGACGAGUCCAGUGGGACAAAGACGUCCUCAGAGAAGGACGACUCAGACUUCACAUCUCCAGACUCCAGACUAAUGACUCGGGGCUGUACUGGUGUCAAGUGGACACAAGUUAUGGGAAGAACUAUAAGGAAUGUCACCUCAAUGUCACUGCAGUGAAGGAUCGACCCGAACCUGAGACAUCGAGUGACACCAGACUGAGAAGAGAUCCUCGGGGAAGGAUCGUUCUCUACUGUGUACUGGGACUGACAGCAGCUCUACUGGUUCUUUAUUAAUUUUAUCUCUGCAUUACCAAAAAUAUUAGUGAUUACCACAGAAAUUAUACAAAAGUCAAUGGUGACAUGAAGUGUCAGGGAGACUGUGGGUGUAGAGUCCAAUCAGAGGAUCAACAGUUCCAUCCCUGCUGACCCGCGUGUUGAUGAGCCCUUGAGCAAGACACUAACCCAGCAUUGCUGCUCAUCAGUGUGUGAGUGGUUGAAUAACGUAUAUAUUUAUAUAUACCGGUUUAAUUUUUGUGUUCUCUGACUGAGAUUCAAAGGAAAUCCACAGUCUUUACAGACUGAAGUGUUUUUUUUGUUCUAGACCUUCGGCUCCUCUAACAGAGACUCUGACUACUGAACAUAUUCUGCAUUAAGCAUCAUGCUGCUCGUCAUCAAAGACUAAUGUUUCAUCUGGUUCCUGUUCAUAAAGAAAAGGAAACAGAUUAAUAUUCUGUAUGUUAACUUGAUUUUGCUCAGAGUGUCUGUUAGAGUUCUGGUGACGUCACUGUACGUCUGGUCAUUGCGCCUCGCUCCGCAGAAUGAGAAACGUCACCACGUUGUGGUCGUAAAUCAUUUCACUGUCGUAAAGCCUGUAUGAAGAGAAAUAGAGCCUCACGCUGCCCCCUGCUGGCUAAAGGCUGGAGUGCACAUUCUCUAUAAACCCAUUACAGGUCUUUACACAUCCAUCCAUCCAUCGUCAAACCGCUUAUCCUGCACACAGGGUCGCGGGGGGGCUGGAGUCCAUCCCAGCCAACUUCGGGCGAUAGACAGGGUACAUCCUGGAUUGGUCGCCAGCCAAUCGCAGGGCUACACAGAGACAUACAACCAUUCACACUCACAUUCACACAUCUACGGGCAAUUUAAAGUCCCCAAUCAACCUGAUCCCCAGAACAUGUCUUUGGACUGUGGGAGGAAGCCGGAGAACCCGGAGAGAACCCACGCAGACACAGGGAGAACAUGCAGACUCCACACAGAAAGGCCACUGGGCGGAAUCGAAACCAGGACCUUCUUGCUGUGAGGCAACAGUGCUAACCACCACGCCACCGUGCCGCCUGGUCUUUACACAAGUUAUCUUAUUUCUAUAAAAUACACUGUUCACUUGAAACUAUAUUUUUUGUCAAUGACAACAAAACACAUGAAAAAAAUAUGUGUGGCCGUCACAAAUAAAACAAAAACUUUGCACAAUUAAUACAAUUAAAUGCUGUUAAUCACAGAACAGUCAUGCGAUUAAUCAGGUUCAAUUCUUUCAUCUUCACUAAUAAUUACCA
ensembl:lncRNA